rnacentral:rRNA from 1 species
GAUGAACGCUGACAGAAUGCUUAACACAUGCAAGUCGAUGGGGAAGUGGUGCUUGCACCAUGGCAACCAUGGCGGACGGGUGAGUAACGCGUAAGGGACUUACCUGCAGGACUGGGAUAACAGGGGGAAACUCCUGACAAGACCGGAUAAUGUCAUGGAGCUGCAUGGCUUUAUGAUGAAAGGAGACGCCUGCGGAGAGCCUUGCGUCCUAUUAGCUAGUUGGUGAGGUAAUGGCUCACCAAGGCGAAGAUAGGUAGCCGGCCUGAGAGGGUGGACGGCCACAAGGGGACUGAGAGACGGCCCUUACUCCUACGGGAGGCAGCAGUGGGGAAUAUUGGACAAUGGGGGCAACCCUGAUCCAGCAAUUCUGUGUGCACGAAGAAGGUUUUCGGAUUGUAAAGUGCUUUCAGCAGGGAAGAAGUAAGUGACGGUACCUGCAGAAGAAGCGACGGCUAAAUACGUG